CAUCACCCUGGAGCUACUCUCUACACCCUUGAGAGUGUGACAACCCCAGAGCAGGCUGUAUUUUGUCCGUCUCUGGGGGCUUUAACUUUUGCUUCCAGCCCUGUCUCCUGCUCUGCCUCCUCCUCUCUCCGCCUCUGUCCUCCUCUUCUCAGGUGGCCAGUCUGCUGCUCCAGUCCUCCCGCGCUACCUGGCGGGGGAGUGGCCCGCUUGGGAUUAAAUACCAGGCCGUUCACACCUGCGGGCCCCUUGUGCU